rnacentral:rRNA from 1 species
UACGGGGGGUGCGAGCGUUGUCCGGAAUCACUGGGCGUAAAGGGCGCGUAGGUGGUUUGAUAAGGGUGUGGUGAAAGUCCGGGGCUCAACCCCGGAUCUGCCGUGCCGACUGUCAAACUCGAGGGCUGUAGAGGCAGACGGAAUUCCGGGUGUAGCGGUGGAAUGCGCAGAUAUCAGGAGGAACACCGAUGGCGAAGGCAGGUCUCUGGGCAUUAACUGACGCUGAGGAGCGAAAGCAUGGGGAGCGAACAGG